CCUCUAGCUGUGGGUCUUAACGUAUGGUUGUCCUCGAGAUGGGGUUCCUCUAGACGUAUGGUUGUCCUCUAAGACUGGGGUGUCCUCUAGACUGUAUGGUUUGUCCUCUAGAGGGUGUCCUCUAGAUGGUAUGGGUGUCCUCUCUAACUGGGUGUCCUCUAACUGUGGGGUGUCCUCUAGGACUGGGUGUCCUCUAGACGGGUGAGGUGGACUGUAUUGUCUUAGACUGAUGGUGUCCCUCUAGACUGUGUGUUCCUCUAGGACUGGGUGUCCUCUAGACGGAAUGAGUUGUCCUCUAGACCGUGGGGUGUCCUCUAGACUGUAUGGUUUGUCCCUCUAGACUGGGGUGUCCUCUAGACUGGGGUGUCCUCUAGAACGGGGGUGUCCUCCUCUAGACGGGGAUGGUGUCCUCUAGACUGUGAUGGUGUCCUCUUAGAUGUAUGGGGUGUCCUCUAGACCGUGGUGGUGUGUCCUCUAGACUGAGUGUGUCCCUGACUUGUCCUUUCCUAGACUGUGUGGUUGUCUCUACACUGGGGUGUCCUCUAGACUGGGUGUGUUGCCCUCCUAGACUGAUGCUGGUGUCCCUCUACACUGGGGUGUCCUCUAGACUGGGGUGUCCUCUAGACUGGGGUGUCCGCUAGUAUGGGGUGUCCUCUAGACUGGGGUUUCCCUCUAGCUGGGGUGGUAUUCAUUUGGAAGUAAAUGGGCCGAAACAGGAAGCCACUUAACUGAAUUUGUCCAAUAAGUAACUUUUGGUUUUGUUGGGAAACUUCUUUAGUUGAAAACAUUUUGCUACAGUUUUCACUAACGAAACAUCCCAGUUAUCUGUCUACCUUCUUUCUAUGGUUUGUGUCUGUCUGUCUGUCUGUCUGUGUCUGUCUGUCGUCACAGCAGCUUGUCUGCCUAUCUGCCUGCCUGUCUGACUGCCUGCCUGUCUGUCUGUCUGUCUGCCUGCCUGUCUGUCUGUCUGUCUGUCUGUCUGUCUGUCUGUCUGUCUGUCUGUCUGUCUGUCUGUCUGUCUGUCUGUCAGGUCUCGCUUGGGAAACAGGUCUUGUUCUGACCUCAAUGAGACUUCCUGGUUACGUAAAGGUUAAAUAACAUUCAGCAGAGCUACCUAACCUCUGUGGUUAGUUAUUGACACUACUCUAAGGGUGCAUCCCUAUCCACUAUUCCAGAGCCCAAAGUGCCCCUGGUCAACAAUGGUGCACUACUUAGAGAAGAGGGCACCAUUUGGGACGCGGAACCAUCUGUGAUUUUAGUAUGGAUGGAAGCAGCUCUACGGGACGACCGACAGUCAAGGGACAGGUCUAUGAUGGGCAGUGGAGGUAGCCUCCUGAGCUGCUAUAAUCAGCGUCCCAAAUGACACCCUAUUCCCUACGUAGUGCACUACUUUAGACCAGAGCCCUAUAGAACCCUAUUCCCUACAUAGUGCACUACUUUAGACCAGAGCCCUAUAGAACCCUAUUCCCUAUGUAGUGCACUACUUUAGACCCUAUUGCCUACGUAGUGUACUACUUUAGACCAGAGCCCUAUAGAUCCCUAUUCCAUACAUAGUACACUACUUUAGACCCUAUUGCCUACGUAGUGUACUACUUUAGACCAGAGCCCUAUAGAACCCUAUUCCCUAUGUAGUGCACUACUUUAGACCAGAGCCCUAUAGAACCCUAUUCCAUACAUAGUACACUACUUUAGACCCUAUUGCCUACGUAGUGUACUACUUUAGAACAGAGCCCUAUAGAACCAUAUUCAAUACAUAGUGCACUACUUUAAACCCUAUUCCCUACAUAGUACACUACUUUAGACCAUAUUCUCUACAUAGUGCACUACUUUAGGCCAGAGCCCUAUGGCACCCUAUUCCCUAUAUAGUACACUAUUUUAGACCAGAGCCCUAUACAGCCCUAUUCUCUACAUAGUGCACUACUUUAGGCCAGAGCCCUAUGGCACCCUAUUCCCUAUAUAGUACACUAUUUUAGACCAGAGCCCUAUAGGCCCUUGUCAAAAAAGUAGUACACUGUAGUUUAUAUAUUUUAUUUAUUUUUAUUUUACCUUUAUUUAACUAGGCAAGUCAGUUAAGAACAAAUUCUUAAGUCAAACGUGUUUAUUCAUAAGCA
ensembl:lncRNA